UGGGGAAUUUUGGACAAUGGGCGCAAGCCUGAUCCAGCCAUGCCGCGUGCGGGAAGAAGGCCUUCGGGUUGUAAACCGCUUUUGUCAGGGAAGAAAAGGUUCUGGUUAAUACCUGGGACUCAUGACGGUACCUGAAGAAUAAGCACCGGCUAACUACGCGCCAGCAGCCGCGGUAAUACGUAGGGUGCAAGCGUUAAUCGGAAUUACUGGGCGUAAAGCGUGCGCAGGCGGUUAUGCAAGACAGAGGUGAAAUCCCCGGGCUCAACCUGGGAACUGCCUUUGUGACUGCAUAGCUAGAGUGCGGCAGAGGGGGAUGGAAUUCAGCGUGUAGCAGUGAAAUGCGUAGAUAUGCGGAGGAACACCGAUGGCGAAGGCAAUCCCCUGGGCCUGCACUGACGCUCAUGCACGAAAGCGUGGGGAGCAAACAGGAUUAGAUACCCCGGUAGUCCCUGAGCGGGCUGGCAAGGCGCAU
rnacentral:rRNA from 1 species